rnacentral:rRNA from 1 species
CUCCUACGGAGGCAGCAGUGGGGAAUUUUGGACAAUGGGCGCAAGCCUGAUCCAACCAUGCCGCGUGUGGGAAGAAGGCCUUCGGGUUGUAAACCACUUUUGUCAGGGAAGAAACGGCUCUUAUUAAUAUUGGGAGCUAAUGAACGGUACCUGAAGAAUAAGCACCGGCUAACUACGUGCCAGCAGCCGCGGUAAUAC